rnacentral:misc_RNA from 1 species
GAUGAAGAACGUAGCGAAAUGCGAUAAGUAAUGUGAAUUGCAGAAUUCAGUGAAUCAUCGAAUCUUUGAACGCAUCUUGCGCUCCUUGGUAUUCUGAGGAGCAUGCCUGUUUGAGUGUCAUUAAAUUCUCAACUACAUUGACUUUGAAUUGGUGUGGCUUGGAUUUGGGGGGAAAAUUGUUGUGGGCUUUUUGUAUAGUCUGCUCCCCUGAAAUUGAUUAGCGGUACCUUUGUGGAACUGUCUACAGGUGUGAUAAUUAUCUACAUCUUAGACAUCUGCUGGAAUGCUGCUUUCUAAACCUUACUUGUAUUGACAAUCUUGACCUCAAAUCAGGUAGGACUACCCGCUGAACUUAAGCAUAUCAAUAAGCGGAGGA